rnacentral:rRNA from 1 species
AACGUAGGAGACAAACGUUAUCCGGAGUUACUGGGCGUAAAGGGCGUGUAGGUGGUUUCGUAAGUCUGGCGUGAAAUUUCUCGGCUUAACCGAGGCAGGUCGUCGGAUACUGCGGAACUAGAGGACGGUAGAGGCGUGUGGAAUUCCGGGUGUAGUGGUGAAAUGCGUAGAGAUCCGGAGGAACACCAGUGGCGAAGGCGACACGCUGGGCCGUACCUGACACUGAUGCGCGACAGCAUGGGGAGCAAACAGG